rnacentral:lncRNA from 1 species
UCGGAUUAGAUGGCAACAUUUAUGAUAGCCUAUUAGGAGGAUUAUGACUUAUCAUAAAUGUCAUUAGCUCCUUCUUCAGAUUUGGCUCUUCCUAUUUAAGGCUGACGACAAACUUGACAACUUAUCAGCUUCGUGACGGCCAAUCACAAAAUAUCGUCAAAGCUCUGCUUCAGUUCUCCUGUGCUGCCUCUGGCUAACAAUAUUCUUGAUAGCUUAUCAGACUCUUGAUGACUUCUCACAAAAUGUCAUCACAUCUUUCAACUUAGGCCAAUUCUCUAUUUACUACUGACGACAAACUUGAUAACUUAUCACAGGGCUGGCGACUUAUCACAAAUGUCGUCAGCCAUACUUGUCUUUAGAUUUCUUUAGAUUUCAACUUCUUUGCUUCCAUUCUUGUUGGUUCUCUAUCAUAUCAGCUUAAACUGUAAAAUCAAACAUAAACCAAUCAAAAACGACAAAAGUGUCUUAAGACUUCACAAUUAUUCUUAGUUAAAAGCCUCAAAUGUGUUAGCAUUAGCUCACACAUCAAUAAUUUUCAGAUUUUAAGGGAUGCAAUCCCAACAUUAGUUGGUCUAACCAACUUACAUGAGAACAAGUAACAUUAAAAGUAAUGGAGAAUUUUCUAAUUCUUCAAUAUAUGUUUAAUAUUUAAAAUGCACAUCUUCGAGAUGUCACAAUCAUUUCUGUCAACUUAUGAAUUUAUUUGUACUAGUAAACUUCAAGUUUACCAUGACAUGUGCAUUUUACUUUAGUAAAUUUCAAAUUUACUAUUACAUGAAUAAAAUUCAUAUUUACUACUUUAGAAGUAGAUUUCAAAAUAACUCUUCUCAAUUAUCCAGCCUUUUUCGGAGGUGAGUUGUGAUACCAUCAUAAUCAAGUGCAUGUUUGCAUUAAUAAGCUUCUCAUUCCCAAGAAAUGAAAGAUAAUGUGCCUUAAGCCUAUUGAAUUAUGAUAGCUUAUACCCUCUUUUAAGAUAUUGCUAAUUCAGGAGAAAAUCGAGGCAUACAUAUAGUUGUGGAGAAAUUUUCUCUUACAUAUCUUUAAUUAUAAUUACAAUAAGUAUGUGAAAAUAUUAUCACUUGUCUUCUUUAAGACAUAUUAUGCAUUACUACCACAUUCAUUUCAAGAAUGGAGUAAGUUGUCAACUUUAAGAUUCAUCAUAUAUUGCUACCAUAUUCAUUUCAUGGGGCAUAUCAAUGGGAUAUCAUGAUUUUUCAUCAAAUAUUGCCUCAACCAUCAUAAUAUAAUCAAUAUGGUAUAUUGAGGCAAUUCAAACUCAAUAUCUUACCAUAUAAAGGUGUUUUAAGCAUAAAUCGAUGGUACUUCAACCCAACAUUUUUCAUCAUGGUGAUCGAGAUUCUAUCUCAAUGUUUUACCCUUUAAUGCGAUGAGAUUUAAAUUAUCUCAUCCUUAACCAAUAUUACAAUAAGUCAAAUUCACCGAUAACUCAACAUCAAACUUUCAAAAUUAUUGUCACUUUCUAAUGGAAAUGUGUAAACAUAUUAAAUAUGACAAAAAUAUUAUUAAAAAAAAACUUCGACAAAUAUAAAACUAACAAUGGUGGCUCAUAAAAAAUAAGGCCCAUUGACAUUUAGCGUGACUACUCAAAUUCCAUUGAUAACUAAUACCACUUUAAAGAAUUAUGGACAUAAGCAAAUUAAAUAAAAAAAAGACCUUAAUUAUACUUGGAAUGUCAUAUCAAAGGUAUAUCUUACUUGAGAUGGUAAUGAAUAUUGCUUCUUGUAGGUUCAAGUAAUUAAUAUAAGAUAUUAUUUAAUAAUAAUAAAAUAAAUCAUACCUCACGUUUGUUAAGCAACCGAUGGAAAAUAUUAUGUGACUUUACCUUAAUUACUCAGUUGUUACUGCUUCGUGCUACUCAGUUGUUACAGCUUCAUGCUGAUAACGUGUUAUAAAAUAAUAAAGAAUAAAGAAGAAGAGUAGAGAGAAAAUAAAUAAUAAUUCUUAUUUCUCUUAAGGAAUG